rnacentral:rRNA from 1 species
UACGUAGGGCGCAAGCGUUGUCCGGAAUUAUUGGGCGUAAAGAGCUCGUAGGCGGUCUGUCGCGUCUGCCGUGAAAACCCGAGGCUUAACCUUGUGGCUUGCGGUGGAUACGGGCAGACUAGAGGUAGGUAGGGGAGAAUGGAAUUCCUGGUGUAGAGGUGAAAUUCGUAGAUAUUGGGAAGAACACCGGUGGCGAAGGCGGAUCUCUGGGCCAUUACUGACGCUGAGGAGCGAAAGCGUGGGGAGCGAACAGG